CCCUUAGAUGUCCGGGGCCGCACGCGCGCUACACUGAAGGAAUCAGCGUGGCUUUCUCCCUGACCCGAAAGGGUUGGGAAACCCGUUGAAUCUCCUUCGUGAUAGGGAUUGGGGCUUGAAAUUGUUCCCCAUGAACGAGGAAUUCCCAGUAAGCGCGAGUCAUAAGCUCGCGUUGAUUACGUCCCUGCCCUUUGUACACACCGCCCGUCGCGACUACCGAUUGAACGGUUUAGUGAGGGCCUCGGAUUGGUCUCGGCCCGCUCUUUACCGGGCGGCGCCGUUGGUCGAGAAGACGCUCGAACUUGAUCGUUUAGAGGAAGUAAAAGUCGUAACA
rnacentral:rRNA from 1 species